rnacentral:lncRNA from 10 species
AGGCUUGUCUUGAACUCUUAGCCUCGAGUGAUCCUCAUGAGUAGCUGGGAUUACAGGCAUGAGCCAUCACACCCAGCUUGUAAUUUUUUACUGUAUUCUUUAUAUAGUGGGUGAAUUGUAACAGAUUGUGAAUUCUGUUGGCUUGUUCUGAAAAGUUGAUAGUUUUUAUUCAUGUAGGCAGUUCAAAGAUAAUCAUCUUGAAUAUGUGGUAAGUGCGUGCCAGGUUUAUUCUGAGUCUAAUUUAGUAGAACAUAACCUCCAUAAUUUCCCCCUGUGCAUCGUAUGGGUUUAGUUUUAUGCUUUGUGGGCCUUACUCUAGGGCACAAUUCUUCAUUCUCAGGGGGCCUUUCUGGUGUCUAAGCUGGAUGUCUGGAGUAUCAGGUGUUGGUGCUCCACUCUAGCUGGGCUGGGACUCCAGCAUCCUUCAGCACUUCUUAGCUUCUAGUAUCUCUGUUCUCUUUCAACUUAGUAGCUACUGCUUUCUGGCAAAUUGCAUAUAGUGUUGCACUGUACAUAAGCCCUUGGCAAAGACCUCACAGGGAACUCUCUCACAUGGGCUUUUGCAAGAUAAUGUCAAGCCUGACAAGAAAAAAAUGUGUCUCUUUUAAUACCCAAUUUCAGUGUAUCUGCAUCUACCAUGCUUUGAGUUAUUAUGAAAAAGUGUUGGAAAAAAACCCCCAAAUUAUGAGCUAGCCUCUGUACAGCUUUUUCCCUCUUGAUCUUGUAGAUUCCAGCCAUUGUGACUGCCCAGAACUCUGAUCUCUCCCCGCUCAGCUCAGUGGGAGCACUGUGGUCUGCCUGGACGCCACUCACUGUGCUAGAGUCAGGGUAAUGUCCUUAAGCAGACAGCCAGGCAUUCAUGUGACUUACAUCAGGAACUUUCCCUCUAUUGGGGGUGACUGUCUUGUGCU